rnacentral:rRNA from 1 species
GACAGAGGGGGCAAGCGUUGCUCGGAAUUACUGGGCGUAAAGGGCGCGUAGGCGGCCGCGCAAGUCGGAUGUGAAAACCCGGGGCUCAACCCCGGGCGUGCAUUCGAUACUGCGUGGCUUGAGACAGGUAGGGGAGAUCGGAAUUCCUGGUGUAGCGGUGAAAUGCGCAGAUAUCAGGAGGAACACCGGUGGCGAAGGCGGAUCUCUGGGCCUGUUCUGACGCUGAGGCGCGAAAGCUAGGGGAGCGAACAGG